CCUACGGGAGGCAGCAGUGAGGAAUAUUGGUCAAUGGGCUUACGCCUGAACCAGCCAAGUCGCGUGAGGGAAGACUGCCCUAUGGGUUGUAAACCUCUUUUGUCAGGGAGCAACGCCGGCUACGUGUAGCCGGACUGAGAGUACCUGAAGAAAAAGCAUCGGCAAACUCCGUGCCGGCAGCCGCGGUACUACGGAGGAUGCGAGCGUUAUCCGGAUUUAUUGGGUUAAAGGGGUGCGUAGGCGGAAUGCCAAGUCAGCGGUAAAAUCGCGGGGCGCAACCGCGCUCCGCCGUUGAAACUGGCGGUCUUGAGUGGGCGAGAGGUAUGCGGAAUGCGUGGUGUAGCGGUGAAAUGCGUAGAUAUCACGCAGAACACCGAUUGCGAAGGCAGCAUACCGGAGCCCAACUGACGCUGAGGCACGAAAGCGUGGGUAUCGAACAGGAUUAGAUACCCUUGUAGUC
rnacentral:rRNA from 1 species